rnacentral:rRNA from 1 species
GAUGAACGCUGGCGGCGUGCCUAAUACAUGCAAGUCGAGCGAACGGACGAGAAGCUUGCUUCUCUGAUGUUAGCGGCGGACGGGUGAGUAACACGUGGAUAACCUACCUAUAAGACUGGGAUAACUUCGGGAAACCGGAGCUAAUACCGGAUAAUAUUUUGAACCGCAUGGUUCAAAAGUGAAAGACGGUCUUGCUGUCACUUAUAGAUGGAUCCGCGCUGCAUUAGCUAGUUGGUAAGGUAACGGCUUACCAAGGCAACGAUGCAUAGCCGACCUGAGAGGGUGAUCGGCCACACUGGAACUGAGACACGGUCCAGACUCCUACGGGAGGCAACAGUAGGGAAUCUUCCGCAAAGGGCGAAAGCCUGACGGAGCAACGCCGCGUGAGUGAUGAAGGUCUUCGGAUCGUAAAACUCUGUUAUUAGGGAAGAACAUAUGUGUAAGUAACUGUGCACAUCUUGACGGUACCUAAUCAGAAAGCCACGGCUAACUACGUG